rnacentral:lncRNA from 1 species
AAAUCAUGGGGUUGACACAUUUCCAUGCAUAUUUUAUCUUUCUCUCCUCGAGAACCAUGUCACAUGUAUCUCCUUAUAAAUUGAGAAGAGAACACUGUAGCUUCCUCAUCCUUCUUUUGCUAGAAUGCAUAUACUAACUAAAUAAUUCCGCUUGAUCCCGCGACCAUUUGCAGCCAAUGCAGCAGAGAAGUUUACUAAUGGCCUGGAAGAAUGAUGUAGAACGGGUUCCUGCUUGAUUUUGGUCUAAAAUGGUGUGCGCAAAGAAGUAGACGAAAGAACCAUUCUGAGGGUAGGGGUAUAAUUGAGGCUAAUCAAGCCGAACAAUCUAAUUUGCAAGGUUGUUUAAUUAUUUUAAUGAGUUUGUAAUUUUGGUCAAGUUUAGCUUGUUUAUUUGUCGAAUCAAACUCCCAAUGAGUUGUUUUUAUUGAAUUUGAAAGUUAUUGAAUAUAAAA